AAUAAACCUUAGAUUUGGUUUAUAUCUGAGUGUUAAUAGUUAGACAGCCGAACAAUCAGAGACUUAACAACACCUGCGUAACUCCAUAUGCGGUCAAACAACUACUCCUUUUGUAAUCGAAGCGUCUUUUUUAUCGCUUGGUGAAUUUAAAUUAAAUUUUCUGUGAGUCCUUAACUAUUUAUCGCCCUAAUUUUAAAGAAAUUACCACGCAAUUGAGAACAUUCUAAACAAAAAUGGUUUGUAAAAUUAAAUAAAAAUGGCAGAGAGAGCAAACUUAUUUACGCUUUAAAACUAGGCAAAGACAAAGUUAGCGCAAACCAUUCCAGAAAUGAAUUGGCUACCUUAUCUUGCGGUGUUCGUCCUUUUUGGUAUUGUACUAUCUCAAGAAUACGAAGAAUUACCUACGGAAGAGAACAAGAUGGAACAGAUCUCAAGAGAUUAUAGAGUUCAAAGACCACAGCGAUUAGAAAAGCGAACAAAUGGAAUAUGCUGGUAUAGACGAUGCAAAUCAGGAAAAAGGUCUUUUACAAAAAAACCCUUUUAUGAUCUAUACUGACAUCAGGAUAGUUUAACCGUGAGAUCAUCGAUGUUAAAAGAGACAAGACAUUACAGGCCAAGAACAAUGGAAGUGAAACAAUGAACUCUAGUCGUUAUUCCAGUCAAACACGCUGCGAAAAAACUAAGAAAUUUUUUUUCUUGUUAAAUGUGAAUAUCAUUUAGAUCGCUGAAAACAUUUAGAAACUUUAAAAAAUAAACAAAUAUAUGAAAA